CCUACGGGAGGCAGCAGUGGGGAAUAUUGGACAAUGGGGGAAACCCUGAUCCAGUGACGCCGCGUGAGUGAAGAAGUAUUUCGGUAUGUAAAGCUCUAUCAGCAGGGAAGAAAAUGACGGUACCUGACUAAGAAGCACCGGCUAACUAUGUGCCAGCAGCCGCGGUAAUACGUAGUGGGCAAGCGUUAUCCGGAUUUACUGGGUGUAAAGGGAGCGUAGACGGUGCAGCAAGUCUGAUGUGAAAGGUCGGGGCUCAACCCCGGGACUGCAUUGGAAACUGUUGAACUGGAGUACAGGAGAGGUGAGCGGAAUUCCUAGUGUAGCGGUGGAAUGCGUAGAUAUUAGGAGGAACACCAGUGGCGAAGGCGGCUUACUGGACUGUAACUGACGUUGAGGCUCGAAAGCGUGGGGAGCAAACAGGAUUAGAUACCCUUGUAGUC
rnacentral:rRNA from 1 species